rnacentral:rRNA from 1 species
GAGUUUGAUCCUGGCUCAGGAUGAACGCUAGCGGCAGGCUUAAUACAUGCAAGUCGAACGGAAACAGGUGCAGCAAUGCAUGCUGUCGAGUGGCGCACGGGUGCGUAACACGUAUGCAACCUACCCUUUACUGGGACAUAACCCUUAGAAAUGGGGGCUAAUAUUCCAUGUGAUUAUUUGCUGGCAUCGGCAAAUAAUUAAAGAUUUAUUGGUAAAGGAUGGGCAUGCGCCCCAUUAGUUAGUUGGUGAGGUAACGGCUCACCAAGGCUGUGAUGGGUAGGGGUUCUGAGAGGAUUAUCCCCCACACUGGUACUGAGACACGGACCAGACUCCUACGGGAGGCAGCAGUAAGGAAUAUUGGGCAAUGGGCGAGAGCCUGACCCAGCCAUGCCGCGUGCAGGAAGACGGCCUUAUGGGUUGUAAACUGCUUUUAUGUGAGACUAACCGUUCCGACGUGUCGGGAUCUGCAGGUAUCACAUGAAUAAGCAUCGGCUAACUCCGUGCCAGCAGCCGCGGUAAUACGGAGGAUGCGAGCGUUAUCCGGAUUUAUUGGGUUUAAAGGGUGCGUAGGCGGGCAAGUAAGUCAGUGGUGAAAGAUCCGGGCUCAACCGGGAUACUGCCAAUGAUACUGUUUGCCUUGAGUGUAAACGAGGUGGGCGGAAUGUGGAGUGUAGCGGUGAAAUGCAUAGAUAUUCCACGAAACACCGAUAGCGAAGGCAGCUCACUAGGAUACAACUGACGCUGAGGCAC